rnacentral:lncRNA from 1 species
UGAUAAACAAGAAUGUGUCCAAAGUACACGGAUGCCCCACUCACACUAUCAUUUUCCAUGUUCAAUGGACCAUGAAAUUGGAUAAAAAUAUAAUUAGGCAUUAAAAUUAGAAAGAUAAUAUCAUAGGGAACAUGUGUACUAAGUUUCAAGUUGAUUGGACUUCAACUUCAUCAAAAACUACCUUGACCAAAAACUUUAACCUGAAACAUGCACUUUCAUUUUCUAUGUUCAGUGGACCGUGAAAUUGGGGUCAAAAGUUUAAUUUGGCUUUAAAAUUAGAAAGAUCAUAUCAUAAGGAACAUGUGUACUAAGUUUCAAGUUGAUUGGACUUCAACUUCAUCAAAAACUACCUUGACC